rnacentral:rRNA from 1 species
UACGUAGGGGGCAAGCGUUGUCCGGAAUUAUUGGGCGUAAAGAGCUUGUAGGCGGUUUGUCGCGUCUGCUGUGAAAUCUCAAGGCUCAACCUUGAGCUUGCAGUGGGUACGGGCAGGCUAGAGUGUGGUAGGGGAGACUGGAAUUCCUGGUGUAGCGGUGAAAUGCGCAGAUAUCAGGAGGAACACCGAUGGCGAAGGCAGGUCUCUGGGCCACUACUGACGCUGAGAAGCGAAAGCAUGGGGAGCGAACAGG